GUCCAAAUUACAAUUAUUGUGCCGAUACAAACUUGUAAAAUUUAUAUAAAUACGUUGAUAUGGUUUUCGAGCCGACAGGUUAAAUAUUACAAUAAGCGAGUGCUAGAAUAACGUUACGGUUUGACCCUAAGUUAAAACAUAGAUUUUUUUUUAAGGUGUUUUGGUGCCCACGUAUAACGAAACCAAACUGAGCGUUAACCUACUAUAUUUAAACAUAAUAUACGUGUUUUAUAAAAUUCUUUUGUAUAUUUCCUUUGAAUUUCACAAUUAAAAAC